AUUGAACGCUGGCGGCAUGCCUUACACAUGCAAGUCGAACGGGGUGGGGGGCAACUCCCAUUCAGUGGCGAACGGGUGAGUAAUGCAUCGGAACGUAUCCCGUAGUGGGGGACAACGCCGCGAAAGCGGCGCUAAUACCGCAUAUGCUCUACGGAGGAAAGUGGGGGACCUGAAAGGGCCUCACGCUAUUGGAGCGGCCGGUGUCCGAUUAGCUAGUUGGUGGGGUAAUGGCCCACCAAGGCGACGAUCGGUAGCUGGUCUGAGAGGAUGAUCAGCCACACUGGGACUGAGACACGGCCCAGACUCCUACGGGAGGCAGCAGUGGGGAAUUUUGGACAAUGGGGGCAACCCUGAUCCAGCCAUGCCGCGUGCGGGAAGAAGGCCUUCGGGUUGUAAACCGCUUUUAGUCGGGAAGAAAAGGCAUCUCCUAAUACGGGGUGUUCUUGACGGUACCGGCGGAAUAAGCACCGGCUAACUACGUGCCAGCAGCCGCAGUAACAC
rnacentral:rRNA from 1 species